rnacentral:rRNA from 1 species
GCGGCACGCCUAAACAUGCAAGUCGAACGAAGUAGCAAUACUUAGUGGCAGACGGGUGAGUAACAUGUAGGUAUCUGCCCUUUGGCCUGGAAUAACACGAGGAAACUUGUGCUAAUACCGGAUAAGUCUUUACGGAGAAAGCUUUAUGCACCAUUGGAUGAGCCUGCAUUUGAUUAGUUUGUUGGUGGGGUAAUGGCCUACCAAGACUGUGAUCAAUAGCUGAUUUGAGAGGAUGAUCAGCCACAUUGGGACUGAGACACGGCCCAAACUCCUACGGGAGGCAGCAGUGGGGAAUCUUGCACAAUGGAGGAAACUCUGAUGCAGCGAUGCCGCGUGAGUGAAGAAGGCCUUUGGGUUGUAAAGCUCUUUCGUCGGGGAAGAAAAUGACUGUACCCGAAUAAGAAGGUCCGGCUAA